rnacentral:tRNA from 2 species
GAGAGAUGGCUGAGCUGGUCUAAGGCGCACGACUGGAAAUCGUGUGUGGCGGAAACGUCACCAAGGGUUCGAAUCCCUUUCUCUCC